rnacentral:rRNA from 1 species
GAUGAACGCUGGCGGCGUGCCUAAUACAUGCAAGUCGAGCGAAUGGAUUAAGAGCUUGCUCUUAUGAAGUUAGCGGCGGACGGGUGAGUAACACGUGGGUAACCUGCCCAUAAGACUGGGAUAACUCCGGGAAACCGGGGCUAAUACCGGAUAAUAUUUUGAACUGCAUGGUUCAAAAUUGAAAGGCGGCUUCGGCUGUCACUUAUGGAUGGACCCGCGUCGCAUUAGCUAGUUGGUGAGGUAACGGCUCACCAAGGCAACGAUGCGUAGCCGACCUGGGAGGGUGAUCGGCCACACUGGGACUGCGAAACGGCCCAGACUCCUCCGGGAGGCGGCAGUAGGGAAUCUUCCGCAAUGGACGAAAGUCUGACGGAGCAACGCCGCGUGAGUGAUGAAGGCUUUCGGGUCGUAAAACUCUGUUGUUAGGGAAGAACAAGUGCUAGUUGAAUAAGCUGGCACCUUGACGGUACCUAACCAGAAAGCCACGGCUAACUACGUGCCAGCCGCCGCGGUAA